rnacentral:rRNA from 1 species
AAUGAACGCUGGCCCUAGGCCUAACACAUGCAAGUCGAACGCCUUUGAAGAGAGGAGUGGCAAACGGGUGAGUAAUGCGCUGGAAUCUACCCUCUAGGCCGCCACAAAAUAGCGGAUAGGGCAUUUUUUAUCUUUCUAGCUUUCUUUUCUUUAUCUUCCACAAACAGGGCGUAACAAAUCUAAAAGACUACGAUUUGUCGCAGCGCAGCAAAGCCAAGUAAAGAAGGAAAAGGUUGUUUUGCCUGCUCAUGGUGCUGAGUAAGUUUUAUGAUUUUUACCACUUUCUUAACAAAGAUUUUUUAUAAAUCAUAGACCCACAACUCAUUAUCCAAGUUAUACUGUAAAAGUUGGGUCUUUACUGCAAAACUGCAGAAAACUAAAACUACGCAAAAGCAGGGGAAAGCAUAAGAUUAGAAAAAAACGUCCAAAAGGCAAAGAGCCCCUUUAGGAUGAGCCGGCGUAGGAUUAGGUAGUUGGUAAGUUAAUAGCUCUACCAAGCCAGAGAUCCUUAGCUGGUCUGAGAGGACGAU